GACGAUUAGAGUUUGAUCCUGGCUCAGGAUGAACGCUGGCGGUAUGCUUUACACAUGCAAGUCAUACGAGAGUUUUGAACUCAAGUGGCGGACGGGUGAGUAACACGUAAGAAUUUGCCUUUAGGAGGGGGAUAACAGCUGGAAACGGCUGCUAAUACCCCAUAUGCUUUCGAGUGAAAUGGAUUUUUCCGCCUGAAGAGAAGCUUGCGGCUGAUUAGCUUGUUGGUGAGGUAAUGGCUCACCAAGGCGACGAUCAGUAUCUGGUUUGAGAGGACGAUCAGACACACUGGAACUGAGACACGGUCCAGACUCCUACGGGAGGCAGCAGUGGGGAAUUUUCCGCAAUGGGCGAAAGCCUGACGGAGCAAUACCGCGUGAGGGAUGACGGCCUAUGGGUUGUAAACCUCUUUUUUCAGGGAGGAAUCAAUGACGUGUACCUGAAGAAUAAGCAUCGGCUAACUCCGUGCCAGCAGCCGCGGUAAGACGGAGGAUGCAAGUGUUAUCCGGAAUCACUGGGCGUAAAGCGUCUGUAGGUGGUCCAAUAAGUCAACUGUUAAAUCUUGAGGCUCAACCUCAAAAUCGCAGUCGAAACUAUUAGACUAGAGUAUAGUAGGGGUAAAGGGAAUUUCCAGU
rnacentral:rRNA from 1 species